rnacentral:tRNA from 2 species
GCGGGAAUAGCUCAGUUGGUAGAGCACGACCUUGCCAAGGUCGGGGUCGCGAGUUC